rnacentral:rRNA from 1 species
CGUGUGCAACCUGCCUUUAUCAGGGGGAUAGCCUUUCGAAAGGAAGAUUAAUACCCCAUAAUAUUUAAGAUGGCAUCAUUUUAAAUUGAAAACUACGGUGGAUAAAGAUGGGCACGCGCAAGAUUAGAUAGUUGGUGAGGUAACGGCUCACCAAGUCAGUGAUCUUUAGGGGGCCUGAGAGGGUGAUCCCCCACACUGGUACUGAGACACGGACCAGACUCCUACGGGAGGCAGCAGUGAGGAAUAUUGGACAAUGGGUGAGAGCCUGAUCCAGCCAUCCCGCGUGAAGGACGACGGCCCUAUGGGUUGUAAACUUCUUUUGUAUAGGGAUAAACCUAGAUACGUGUAUCUAGCUGAAGGUACUAUACGAAUAAGCACCGGCUAACUCCGUGCCAGCAGCCGCGGUAAUACGGAGGGUGCAAGCGUUAUCCGGAUUUAUUGGGUUUAAAGGGUCCGUAGGCGGAUCAGUAAGUCAGUGGUGAAAUCUCAUAGCUCAACUAUGAAACUGCCAUUGAUACUGCUGGUCUUGAGUAAGGUAGAAGUAGCUGGAAUAAGUAGUGUAGCGGUGAAAUGCAUAGAUAUUACUUAGAACACCAAUUGCGAAGGCAGGUUACUAUGUCUUAACUGACGCUGAUGGACGAAAGCGUGGGGAGCGAACAGGAUUAGAUACCCUGGUAGUCCACGCUGUAAACGAUGCUAACUCGUUUUUGGGUUUUCGGAUUCAGAGACUAAGCGAAAGUGAUAAGUUAGCCACCUGGGGAGUACGAACGCAAGUUUGAAACUCAAAGGAAUUGACGGGGGCCCGCACAAGCGGUGGAUUAUGUGGUUUAAUUCGAUGAUACGCGAGGAACCUUACCAAGGCUUAAAUGGGAAUUGAUCGGUUUAGAAAUAGACCUUCCUUCGGGCAAUUUUCAAGGUGCUGCAUGGUUGUCGUCAGCUCGUGCCGUGAGGUGUUAGGUUAAGUCCUGCAACGAGCGCAACCCCUGUUACUAGUUGCUACCAUUAAGUUGAGGACUCUAGUAAGACUGCCUACGCAAGUAGAGAGGAAGGUGGGGAUGACGUCAAAUCAUCACGGCCCUUACGCCUUGGGCCACACACGUAAUACAAUGGCCGGUACAGAGGGCAGCUACACAGCGAUGUGAUGCAAAUCUCGAAAGCCGGUCUCAGUUCGGAUUGGAGUCUGCAACUCGACUCUAUGAAGCUGGAAUCGCUAGUAAU